rnacentral:rRNA from 1 species
GACGAACGCUGGCGGCGUGCUUAACACAUGCAAGUCGAACGGAAAGGCCCUGCUUUUGUGGGGUGCUCGAGUGGCGAACGGGUGAGUAACACGUGAGUAACCUGCCCUUGACUUUGGGAUAACUUCAGGAAACUGGGGCUAAUACCGGAUAGGAGCUCCUGCUGCAUGGUGGGGGUUGGAAAGUUUCGGCGGUUGGGGAUGGACUCGCGGCUUAUCAGCUUGUUGGUGGGGUAGUGGCUUACCAAGGCUUUGACGGGUAGCCGGCCUGAGAGGGUGACCGGCCACAUUGGGACUGAGAUACGGCCCAGACUCCUACGGGAGGCAGCAGUGGGGAAUAUUGCACAAUGGGCGGAAGCCUGAUGCAGCAACGCCGCGUGCGGGAUGACGGCCUUCGGGUUGUAAACCGCUUUCGCCUGUGACGAAGCGUGAGUGACGGUAAUGGGUAAAGAAGCACCGGCUAACUACGUGCCAGCAGCCGCGGUGAUACGUAGGGUGCGAGCGUUGUCCGGAUUUAUUGGGCGUACAGGGCUCGUAGGUGGUUGAUCGCGUCGGAAGUGUAAUCUUGGGGCUUAACCCUGAGCGUGCUUUCGAUACGGGUUGACUUGAGGAAGGUAGGGGAGAAUGGAAUUCCUGGUGGAGCGGUGGAAUGCGCAGAUAUCAGGAGGAACACCAGUGGCGAAGGCGGUUCUCUGGGCCUUUCCUGACGCUGAGGAGCGAAAGCGUGGGGAGCGAACAGGCUUAGAUACCCUGGUAGUCCACGCUGUAAACGGUGGGUACUAGGUGUGGGGUCCAUUCCACGGGUUCCGUGCCGUAGCUAACGCUUUAAGUACCCCGCCUGGGGAGUACGGCCGCAAGGCUAAAACUCAAAGGAAUUGACGGGGCCCCGCACAAGCGGCGGAGCAUGCGGAUUAAUUCGAUGCAACGCGUAGAACCUUACCUGGGUUUGACAUGGAUCGGGAGUGCUCAGAGAUGGGUGUGCCUCUUUUGGGGUCGGUUCACAGGUGGUGCAUGGCUGUCGUCAGCUCGUGUCGUGAGAUGUUGGGUUAAGUCCCGCAACGAGCGCAACCCUUGUUCACUGUUGCCAGCACGUUAUGGUGGGGACUCAGUGGAGACCGCCGGGGUCAACUCGGAGGAAGGUGGGGAUGACGUCAAGUCAUCAUGCCCCUUAUGUCCAGGGCUUCACGCAUGCUACAAUGGCUGGUACAGAGAGUGGCGAGCCUGUGAGGGUGAGCGAAUCUCGGAAAGCCGGUCUCAGUUCGGAUUGGGGUCUGCAACUCGACCUCAUGAAGUCGGAGUCGCUAGUAAUCGCAGAUCAGCAACGCUGCGGUGAAUACGUUCCCGGGGCU